UGUAUGUUUAUCUUGAAAGUGAUCAAUAUAAAUCGUAUUUUUACCUUGAAAGUGUUCAUAAUGUUGCAGUAAAUUACUAAAUUUCAAGACAUGAUCUUCUAAACGUUAUUAUAAUAUUCUUUGUUGGAUGUUUUCAUUGUUCCUUAUAUCAGUGGCGGAUCGAGGACUAAAUUUUACCUGGGUCAAACCAUGUAAAAAAAAAACAAAAGUGUCAAUUGUAGGAUUCGAAACUGGGUUUAGACCUUUAGGAGUGUCACAAAGGGAAUUUGACCAACAGAGUUAUUGGUAUUUUAAUCUUAAUCCAUACAAAACAUAAAUUUAUCCAAAUUUAACGUGUGUCAUGUGCAACCCUAUCCUCUCAAGUGGGUCCGCCACUGCCUUAUAUCAUAUAACAUACCAAAGUAAACUGAUGGAAAUAUGUAAUUUCUAUUUGGAACGCACAACCUAAAGGUGUUAUCUAUUUAAUAAUGCAUGAUCAUGAUAAACUACUUAAGAUUUUGUUAAUAACUGUGGACAAAUGCAAGACCACUGGUAAAAAUAUAUAUGAGUUGGUAAAUUAUAUAUGAGUUUUAAAAUACUCAUGUGAUCUUGACUUAUGGUUUGUAGAGAAUAUGAAAAACUAGGGUCGGGAAGUUAUAAUAAAAACUAUUUUAUAACGUUGAAUAGUGUUUAUCUUUUUAUUUAAAAACUAAUUUUAAGUUAACACUUAGUGUUUUGACCCAAAAAUAGUACUUAGAGUUAUGAUUUAAGAUAAUUAUAUUUGUAAUAGUUUUUCAAUGGUGUGGUUAUUUUGUAUUUAGUCGUUUGAUGAUGUUGUGAUUUGUUUAAAAUGAGGAAGUUAUUAUUAGAACAGUUGCAACACUUUUGAGUGUCACAUAUUUAGUUACCAUUAGAAAUUCUAUAAUGCAUGUGAGAAAAUAUUAUUUAUUGAGAAAUGCAAUGUAUAUUUUUGUGUAGAUGAAUAAUUUAAGUACUAUUUAAAAACGUAAACGGACUGGCUAAUAGAGAGACGAUUAAAUAUAAGAACUUGUUGAGUGGGGUUCAUAUGAACUUUUUUAGUCUAUCUUCUUAAAUUAAAAUUGUAGAAAGUGUGUAUAUUCACAAGUUCUUUUUGCUUAUAACUUUAUUAUGCCUUGAACAUAUGCACUAUUUUAAGUGAUUUUGAUGGGAGAUCUCCAAAGUUAUAGAGGAAAAAAUUGGGUGUUGAGAAUUUUGCUUACUGAGGUGACAUAUUUGACCAAAUAGAUUUAGCUACUGAUCCCAAAGUUUUUAUAUGAGAAGAUUGAUUAUGUUCUUUAUGUUUAAUUUUUUAAAAUAUUAAGAAUAGAAGAUUAAAAAUUUUACUAUGUUCUUUAUGUCUGGAAAUUAGAUUAUAUAUCUUAAAUAAAAGCAUUAAUAACAUUAUAUGAACUAUAUAAACAAAAAAAAUGAGUUAAGAAAACAAAACAACAUCUAAGCAAAAGUGAGUUGACUAUACAAAUUGGAACAUCGGAAAAAAUACUAAAAAAAUGUUUCGCUUCUAAUAAUUGAAAUCUCAAAUAUAUAGUACGCUCAAGAAUCUGAAAGUAACUUUGGAAAAUUAAAAUCUUCACAUACAUAUUAAUGCAUGUAUUACAUUUGCAUAAUAAAAAGUAAAAAUCUCUGAACAUUUCUAUUAAGUAUCCUAAUUUAUAUCUAUUAUACACAAUUCUUAACGCAAAUUUAAAACUUUAUACCCUUAAUUUUAAACAAACUCUUAAUCUUUAAACUAUAAUCUUAACCAUAAACUUUAUUCUCCAUGAAAAUACUUUUAUAAUUAAAUGUAUAAAUUAUAAAAUUUUAACCUUAGACUUUAUAUUGAAAUGGUUGAUAACAAAUGGCAAGGACUGUGUCAGAUUUAAUAAUAGUCAUUGAUUAAAUUUUAAUCUAACGGUGGAGAAUCAAUUUCAACCUCUCUCUUUUGUCCUUUUCUGUGCACUAAGAAACGAUCCAUAAACUUGUUUUCUUCACACUUUUCUCAGAUUCAGAUCUCUAUCUUUUCAUUACACGUUUUUCUUUCUUCUUUCUCUUCUCUACAUUUUUUCUCUAUCUACUGAUUUGUUUAUUUUUUCUAUGUUUUAUUUAAUGAAUCUUAUAUUCUUUCUAUCUCAUCUUCUUCUUUGUCUCUGUUAAAGCUUGUCGUGUGCCGUACUCGUUCUCACCACUCUAGUUCAUCACCUCUCUAAUUCAAGAUUAAAGGUGUGGAGGAAGAAGAAAAGCUUGACGGUGGUGGGAUUUGAGAAAAACGGAGCUGGAUGGUGGAUGUGACGAUGGUCACGUGGGAAGAACCCUAAAAUGGAUCGAAGUGCAUUAGAGAUGCUGGAGACUGGGCUAUCCAAGAACAAAGCCCAUAUGAACUGAAGCCCACCUAGACUUAAUGAACGUGACGUUAUAAAAUGGUGGGACACGUGUCGGCUUCUCAAGACUCUAAUUAGUGAUGUGUCCGCCUAUGUGGACAGCCUAGGAGAGAAUCAAACCCAACUUUAUAUAUAAAAAUAUGAAUUUAAUUAUAAAAUAUUUAUAAUGUUAUUUUUGAAAAUGUUUCUAUAGGAAUCUAUACUCAAUAUUAGAAAAAUAAAGAAUAUAUCCUCAAUAUAUAAGACAUAAUGCAUAUAAUUAAUACCGUCUU